rnacentral:lncRNA from 1 species
CAACUGCAUUUCCUGUUGUCGCCUAAGCAUUACUACAGGAUUAGCCACAUUCGUCUACAAAGAGAUUUUCAUACAAACGAAGUAAUAUGUAAAUAGACAAAAAUGAAACACAUACUGGCAGAAAGCACUGUUACUCUCCAGACAACCAUUGUUUACAUAUUAGAAUUUUGAAACCUAGCACUCCCACUCCCAAAGGACUUACUAAAAUGAGCAUUUGUAUGUCCCAUAUUAAAAGUACUUCUAAACUAUUUCAAAGGAUGUUUUUGGCAAUCAGAAUGAAAUUAUUUCACGUUUAGCUCAAAUCAAGAGAAAUUCUCACCAAUUGAUACUUUUAAGGAAAGUAUCAAAUCAUGACUGGUUAAAACAAACCAAAAAGAAAAGUGAAACAAGGCAUAAAAUCUCUGAAAAAAAAUCUGACAAAUAAAUAAAAAAGUAUCCUCUUCCAAAAGAGAAAUGCCAGAUUAGACGUAAAAAGAAGAUAUAAGUAGUCUUCUUUAUUAUAUGACUAUUAUAGCCACAAAACUUAAAAAGCCAUUCUACUUUUCAUCAAAUUAUGUUAACUCUUAUUUCAAAUGUGGGGAAAAUGUGUCUCAAAAAAACAGGGAAAAAAAAAAAAAAACAAUUCCAGGACAUAUCAGAACUUGAAGGUAAGCAGGUUGAAGAAGGGAAAUUAAGUUCUCCAGAUCUUGGCAUGCUGACUGAUAAGUCAGGCUCAGAAUCUUCUUUAGAUACUGUGGAAAAUCCUUCAAAUCCUAUUGCAAUACUUGAAGUUCUUCUAGUUUCAACUAAAGUAUUACUAACUUUCUUUUUCAUCCCAGUGAAACUGUAUAAUCUUUUGUAGGUGGAAUAUUGGUGGACUUGUCCCCAAGUUAAAUUAUGAUUUAAAGAGACACUUAGAAAAAGAGGAAAAGCCUACUAAAACUGAGCAGGCUAUCAGCAAAGACAAAAAUGCAGAGAAGAACAACCGUUUAUCUCUUCAGGGAGAAAUUAUUAUUGCAAUUAUAUUGAUAACAGAACCUGGGUGUUAGUUCAGGUAUUAAGAAAAACAACUGACCUGAAGUUCUGUAUUACUGGGGUUGAAGAACUGAAUUUUCAUCAUCUAGAAUAUAUUGAAGGAAAUGAGUGUCUGUUAAAGAAAGAAUUAUUCCAUAUUUAUUCUGGCUGAGAUAAAUUAAAGGUGAAACACUUUAGGCUGCACUUAGAUAAUUUUCGGCUUUAAUUGCCUACGUGCAUCCAGUGAAAGGGAGAGGAAUCCCAAUUUUCAUAAUUGAAGAUGGAGGAACAAGUUAUGUGGUUGCUCUGCAGAUACUAUGCAAAUUAGUUGAACUAACUCAGAAACCAGUUGAUCAGCCCUUUGAUUACAUUUGUGGUGUGAGCACAGGUGCCAUAUUAGCUUUCAUGUCGGGAUUUUUUCAUAUGUCCUUGGAUGAAUGCGAGAAACUAUAAAACAUUAGGUUCAGACGUAUUUUCACAAAAUUUCAUUGUUGGAAAAGUUAAAAUGAGUUGGAGCCAUGCAUUUUAUAGAAGUCAAAGGUGGGAAAAAAUUCUGAAAAAUAGAAUGGGAUUUACGCUAUUGAUGGCAACAGCAAGAAACCCCACAUGCCUUAAGGUAACUGCCAUAAGUACCAUAGUAAACAGAGGGAUAACACCAAAAUAAUUUGAUUAGAAACUAUGACCAUUUUGCUGGAAUCAACUGUCAUUUCAGAGGUUCUCAGUAUAAAAUGUGGCAGGCCAUUAGAGCCUCAUCUGCUGCUCCAGGCUACUUUGCAGAAUACACAUUGGGAAAUGAUCUUCAUCAAGGCGGAGGUUUGCUUCUGAAUAACUAUUUGGCAUUAGCAAUGCAUGAGUAUAAAUGUCAUUGGCCGGAUAUCCCAUUAGAGUGCACAGUAUGCCUGGGCACUGGACAUUCGGAGAGUGACAUGAAAAACACUGUGAUACACACAAGCUUGAAAACCAAACUUUCUAAUGUUAUCAACAGUGCUACAGAUAUAGAAGCAGUCUGUAUAAUGCUUGAUGUUCUGUUACCUCCUGACACCUAUUUUAUAUUCAAUCCUGAAAUGUGUGAAAACAACCCUAGAUGAAAGUCAAAAUGAAAAGCUGGAUCAGCUGAAGUUAGAAGGGUUGAAAUACAUAGA